UGGGGAAUUUUGCACAAUGGGCGAAAGCCUGAUGCAGCAACGCCGCGUGUGUGAUGAAGGUCUUCGGAUCGUAAAGCACUUUCGGCCGGGACGAAAACCUGAAAACUAACAUUUUUCAGCUUGACGGUACCGGAAGAAGAAGCACCGGCUAACUCUGUG
rnacentral:rRNA from 1 species